ACGUCCUACGGGAGGCAGCAGGUGGGAAUCUUGGACAAUGGGGGCAACCCUGAUCCAGCCAUGCCGCGUGAGUGAUGAAGGCCUUAGGGUCGUAAAAGCUCUUUCGCCUUGUGAAGAUAAUGACGGUAGCAGGUAAAGAAACCCCGGCUAACUCCGUUGCCAGCAGCCGCGGUAAUACGGAGGGGUUAGCGUUGUUCGGAAUUACUGGGCGGUAAAGCGCACGUAGGCGGAUUCGGAAAGUUGGGGUGAAAUACCCGGGGCUCAACCCCGGAACGGCCUCCAAAACUAUCGGUCUAG
rnacentral:rRNA from 1 species